CACAGGUGCCCUGAGGCGGCAGCGGCCAUCUUGUGGUGGACGCUGGCAACAGUUGUCCAGCUGCAGUAGCCACAGCCAGGCAGGACACACUAGCCCCUCUGUUCCUGCCUUCUACCGUGUGGGAGAUGCUGGCUGGGAUGGCUCUUGGAGGCAAGGUGGCCUGAGCCAGGGAAAACUGGAAUGCUGUGAAUACUGUGGUGAUUUUUCCUUCAAAGAACAACCAUUUCAAUCUAUAGGCACAAAUAGUAGAAGGCCAUGCUGUCCAGCAGGGAGAAGCUGCAAUAUGAAACAGGGAUAACUGAAAGGAGAGCGCAGUAAUCUUCAGCAAGAUGCAGAGAUCAGUUUCUUGUUAGUUAAUCUCCUGAAACUCAUCAGAAUAUUUCGUCAGUACCAUCUAAUGCUGUGGAAUUGUAAUGGCCUAUCAGGUAGCUGCAACUGUCUUCGGAGAUCACUUGUCUCCUGAUUACUAAGGUGUCUUUGAAUACCGCAGAAACUGAGUGGCUUCUUGCUGCAGAAUAGAAUAUGGAAAGUACUGAAAGCUGUCUGUGGUGUGAUAUGGCUGAGAUCCAUGUACAAACGUACAGGAAGGAUUGCUUCUCCUGGAAGGUUGCUUUACCUAGCCCCACUGUUACUAUUCAUAUGCACAUAAGACUUGAAAAUUUAGUGAGAAGAACAUCUGUGCUCUACCUUCGAAUUCCUUUAAAAGAAUUUGAAGUCUUCAAAGGACACUUUGUUGUAUUCAGAAAAGUGCUCUGUGAUUAACUGAUCUGUAGCUCAUACAAGGCCCUCAUGUCAAAUACAGAAGAUGUACAGCUGUUCUUUACUUCUGAAACCAAGAGACUGCAGGAGAAGAUUUGUGAGAAGGUAGCUGCUUGCAGGUAAAUGUUGUCUUCAGCAGAACCUAAGGAAAGUGAUAUUUAUUUACUUUGACUCCAGUUCUUCUCUAUGUGUGGGGUCAGGCCUCUAGAGCAGUACUGAUUGAAAGGCGGAAAGUUCAUGAGCAAAAGUGUUUCCCUUCUGUAUGGAAUAAGAAAAAUUAAGCAAAAUUGAUCCUUCAUAGACUUGUGUACCCAGGUAACAUAGCAGAAUGUACAGAAAUCACAUUCAAAUUGUGAAAAUGUUGACUAUCAAUGACUGUAGGAAGUAACAAAGAACAGCUUGUUAUUCUGCACUGUUUCCCCUACCCCACUGAGAUUUUCCCUGUAUCAUUUGUGAGUGGAACAUGAACUGGGUGUGUAACUGCAGGCAUAAUUUGACCUUUGAAACCUCCAUUACUGUAACUGAUACAAGAAAAGUGAAAGUCACAGUUUAUGUUCAGGUACCAGACCAAGUACCUGAUAAAGUUUGAAAAACACAGUUAGAGAAAACCUAAUUUUUGCUGGCACAUGGCUUUGCUAUAUGAACUGCCCUGGCUUGUCCUGUUAAAAUUUGCAUCAAACCCUUUUACCAGUAUGAGGAGGUAACACAGACUAUGUGUCAGUACAGUGGCAGGAUAAUGCCAAAUACCAGGAAAAUAAAGAAUGAGGGAAAAUGUUGUUUUCCUCAGUGAGUUAUUGCCUUUCUUGCCAAGAUUUGCCAAGCCCUGCACAUUGAGCAUUAGACGUGCAAUCAACUCUCUGCCAGAAUUUUUCAUACUUUGCAGCAAAUGUGGCAGCUUUUACCAGUUCUGCUUUCAUCCAUUAUGCGGAUGAAAGCCCUGUUGGCUUCAUGCUUCUCACGCAAUACCCUCACUUCCACACCAAAUGUGCCAGGUAUUUUACCUGGCACGUGACAGCCUGUAGCAAUGGAUCUGUUUAUGAGCUUGCUGUGUGCAAGAUGCUGUGAUCUGUCCCUCAGGCAGUUCUGUGCACUUGGGUUCUGAUCUAGAGGGGGCCCAGCACUGAGCUGGGGGCUGGGGUGCUCUGUUUUGUGCACUGGAAAGAAGUGAAAACCCAAACCCAUGGCUGGAUGCCCUACAACCGUGCUAAUGGGAGUAUUGGAAUAUAAAAAGAUGUGUAUAU